UGACAGGGGGCUGAGGUUUCUCGAGAAGGCAAAGCUGUGCUCUAGGGAAGAUGAGACUGCUGGGUCUCCUCCUGUGCCUGGUGACAGCCCCCCUGGGCGUCCUGUCCCAGGUGAAGUUGCAGGAGUCGGGCCCAGGACUGGUGAAGCCCUCACAGACCCUCUCCCUCACCUGCACUGUCUCUGGAUUCUCUUUAACAAGCUGGAGUGUGCACUGGGCUCGCCAGGCUCCAGGGAAGGGGCUGGAGUGGGUCGGUGUUAUGGGGUAUGAUGGAAGUGCAUACUACAACCCAGCGCUGAAAUCCCGACUCAGCAUCACCAGGGACACCUCCAAGAGCCAAGUUUAUUUGGCACUGAGCAGUGUCACAACCGAGGACACAGCCAUGUAUCACUGUGCCAGAGACACAGUGAGGGGAAGUCAGUGUGAGCCCAGACACAAACCUCACUGUGGAAGGCAGGAGGACUGUCCUGCAGGGGACAUUCAGGACACCAGGGGUCACUCUCCUCUCACCAAUCAUAGAGAACAGCCCUGGGGGCAGGUGUGGACCUGGUCGGGACUGAAGGAGCUUCCUCCUGGGAGCAGGGAUUUCCUCUCAGAGCUCACAGCUGCAUCCAGGGACCCUGCCUUCUCUCUGUGA